rnacentral:lncRNA from 1 species
UUUUGGAAAGGUUAGUUUUUGGAGAUUAAUCAAAGAUCAAAGCAAAAGAGGUUUCUUUUGUCUAUUCUCAUCUUAAGUUUUUUGUUUGUUUAUUGUUUUCCUUUCAAUUUUAUUUUGUUUUUUUAUACGAAAGUAAAAAUAAAAGUAAGAAGCUUACCCAUAUUUUCAUUACCGAAAAAGGUUUUUUUUUUAGGUCCGGCCGCCGUGUACGGUGGCAUCGAUGGCAGCCCGUGGGGGUCCAUGACCGAAGCAAAGCCGGACUUACGGCCGGAUUUAGAAAAGAGGGAGAAAGAGAGUUGAGAGCUUUGUUUUAUUUUUUUUAUUUUAUUAUUUUACUAUUAUUUAUAUUAUUAUUAUUAUUUCUCAUGUAUAUAUUAUUAUUUAUAUUAUUAUAUUAUAUAUGUCCUCUCCAUAUUUAUUUAUAUUAUUACUAUCAUUAUUGUUACUUCUAUUAUUUUUUAUUUCUGACUACUAUUAUUAUAUAUAUGUAUUAUUGUUUGUAUUAGUAUUAUUAUUAUC